rnacentral:piRNA from 1 species
UUCCCCGGACUGUCGGCCAGGAGA